rnacentral:misc_RNA from 1 species
AUUAAGAGACUCACAAUUAAACCCGAAAAUAAUUCAGUCCGGGCUAAUCGGUCCUCCCAUCCGUGGAUACGUUCAAUUUGGAACAGUUUACUUAGCACAGAGAAAACGCUAACACUGCAGUCACCGUAAAUGGAUGAUCCUUAAUUAACACGUGAAACCGACUGCAUACAUCCGUGUUCUGGUUUACUCUUCUCCCAUGGUCGAUCAUUCACCAGAAUAACGCGAUAAACGAGAAACUGAAUCAGCGUCUUGAUUCGGCGAUUAAAUACACCAUGUAUAAACCCGUAUAAGUCCCGUAGGGGAUCGUUCCUUGGAGAGACAAGCGGAAAGAGCUUCACCACGAAGAGAACGAAGCUUCUUUCUCUUCCGUGAUAUCGAUCGUAGCCAAUCGAUGCCUCCACGUUCGAAACAGUUUCGUGCUUCUCCCUCGAUAUUUUCCUUGUUCAGCGUCUCGUGCGUUUUCCUAUCCUCUUUGCGACCGGUUCGUUGAACGAUGCGUCGCGAACGUUUGUCCCCCCUUUAACAAACAAACUCCACCGGAAGAAUCUUCGAUCCAUUUAUUGGCUUCGCCUCUGAACAAAUCCUCCGACCCUCUUCGCAAGCGGAACGCCUCGUAUAACGAGAAAACAGCGGAAUUUCGCGGACAAGUGGAAAACUUUUAAUUAAUCGAGGUUCGAUCGCCGUUUACCGAUAGAUCGACCGGAAUACAAGAUACGUGUCUCUGUGUAAAACGAGCCUCGAGUUCUCGUUAAAAUCGCCGGGGACAGCUAUCAGACACCGUUGAACACCGACAGAAACUUUAAUUCCUUGAAAGACCGAAGUAUAAGUAGCUAACGAACAGCCAGCCGCCGGUGACUCGUUAACGAUUAAUACUUAAUGAACAGCCGUGGUCGUGUCCUCGAAUAACGUACUCUCGCCGACUCGAAACUUGUACGCGCGCGGGCUAAUUUCCACCAAUCUACCGGAAGAGUAAAUUUGCAUCUCGACAAACCGACUAACUACGAUUCCAACAGAUCGUCCUAUGCAAUUUGCAAGACGAUGUUGAUAACGGUCUACUUGUUUGCAAUUAACGAAGUGGCACUAACAUUCACAACGGGCUCGUAACGAAAAGGUCGAUCCGUUGGAUGGCUAAUUAACCCCGAAGGUUACUCGCUUCGUAUCGGAGAAGUUGCAAACCUGAUAGCUUCCUUCCAGAAACACUUCUCCGGUAAGUCUUCCUACUUGCAACUUCCUCUGGAACAAAGGCAUCUAUUGUGCUUCAGCAGAAACCGAGUGUCACGGUAUCCACGAUCUUUCGAAAGUUUCUUCUCCUCUUCGAGGGGAACGCUGAAUCGGGACGUCGAACGAAACACGGAGACAUGUGUAUAGAUAUUAGCACUUCGAAGACGCGUUAAUUACCGUGUAACUGUGGCGCACGGCGAUUCCGAUGACUCAAGAUUGUCUUCCUCUGUACGACACGCACUUACGUAGGUGGCCCUACGUUUCGCUGAAUCUCGUCGACGAACGGAACGUCAGGAUCGUCGUGUUCGUCGUCGUGAUCUUUUCGUUGCCGUUGUCUUUAUCUGGGGGGCCCGAGCGAUAGAGGAUCAUGAUACCAAGAGACAACUUACGGAGAUACGGAUGAACACGCGAUACAGGAACUCCUUCGAGAAUUACUCUUC